rnacentral:rRNA from 1 species
UUGACCUCAAAUCAGGUAGGACUACCCGCUGAACUUAAGCAUAUCAAUAAGCGGAGGAAAAGAAACUAACAAGGAUUCCCCUAGUAACUGCGAGUGAAGCGGGAUAAGCUCAAAU